rnacentral:rRNA from 1 species
AAUGAACGCUGGCGGCAGGCCUAACACAUGCAAGUCGAACGGAUCCUUCGGGAUUAGUGGCGGACGGGUGAGUAACGCGUGGGAACAUACCCAAAGGUACGGAAUAGCCUCGGGAAACUGGGAGUAAUACCGUAUGUGCUCGAAAGAGGAAAGAUUUAUCGCCUUUGGAUUGGCCCGCGUUGGAUUAGGUAGUUGGUGGGGUAAUGGCCUACCAAGCCGACGAUCCAUAGCUGGUUUGAGAGGAUGAUCAGCCACACUGGGACUGAGACACGGCCCAGACUCCUACGGGAGGCAGCAGUGGGGAAUCUUAGACAAUGGGGGAAACCUUGAUCCAGCCAUGCCGCGUGAUCGAUGAAGGCCUUAGGGUUGUAAAGAUCUUUCAGGUGGGAAGAUAAUGACUGUACCACCAGAAGAAGCCCCGGCUAACUCCGUGCCAGCAGCCGCAGUAA